CUCUCAAUUUGUUUGGUGGCGAUAGCGAAGAGGUCACACCCGUUCCCAUACCGAACACGGAAGUUAAGCUCUUCAGCGCCGAUGGUAGUCGGGGGGUUCCCCCUGUGAGAGUAGGACGCCGCCAAGC
rnacentral:rRNA from 1 species